rnacentral:rRNA from 1 species
UACGUAGGGUGCGAGCGUUAAUCGGAAUUACUGGGCGUAAAGCGUGCGCAGGCGGUUUUGUAAGCCGGAUGUGAAAUCCCCGGGCUUAACCUGGGAAUGGCAUUCGGGACUGCAAGGCUGGAGUGUGGCAGAGGGGGGUGGAAUUCCGCGUGUAGCAGUGAAAUGCGUAGAGAUGCGGAGGAACACCGAUGGCGAAGGCAGCCCCCUGGGCCAACACUGACGCUCAUGCACGAAAGCGUGGGGAGCAAACAGG